rnacentral:rRNA from 1 species
GACGAACGCUGGCGGCGUGCCUAAUACAUGCAAGUAGAACGCUGAAGGAGGAGCUUGCUUCUCUGGAUGAGUUGCGAACGGGUGAGUAACGCGUAGGUAACCUGCCUGGUAGCGGGGGAUAACUAUUGGAAACGAUAGCUAAUACCGCAUAAUAGUAGAUGUUGCAUGACAUUUGCUUAAAAGGUGCAAUUGCAUCACUACCAGAUGGACCUGCGUUGUAUUAGCUAGUUGGUGGGGUAACGGCUCACCAAGGCGACGAUACAUAGCCGACCUGAGAGGGUGAUCGGCCACACUGGGACUGAGACACGGCCCAGACUCCUACGGGAGGCAGCAGUAGGGAAUCAUCGGCAAUGGACGGAAGUCUGACCGAGCAACGCCGCGUGAGUGAAGAAGGAUUUCGGAUCGUAAAGCUCUGUUGUAAGAGAAGAACGAGUGUGAGAGUGGAAAGUUCACAAUGUGACGGUAUCUUACCAGAAAGGGACGGCUAACUACGUG